rnacentral:rRNA from 1 species
UACGGGAGGCAGCAGUGAGGAAUAUUGGUCAAUGGUCGAGAGACUGAACCAGCCAAGUAGCGUGCAGGAUGACGGCCCUAUGGGUUGUAAACUGCUUUUAUGCGGGGAUAAAGUGCGGCACGUGUGCCGUUUUGUAGGUACCGCAUGAAUAAGGACCGGCUAAUUCCGUGCCUUGACAGCCGC